rnacentral:rRNA from 1 species
AUACGUAGGGGGCGAGCGUUGUCCGGAAUGAUUGGGCGUAAAGGGCGCGUAGGCGGCCCGGUAAGUCUGGAGUGAAAGUCCUGUUUUUAAGAUGGGAAUUGCUUUGGAUACUGUCGGGCUUGAGUGCAGGAGAGGUAAGUGGAAUUCCCAGUGUAGCGGUGAAAUGCGUAGAGAUUGGGAGGAACACCAGUGGCGAAGGCGACUUACUGGACUGUAACUGACGCUGAGGUGCGAAAGUGUGGGGAGCAAACAGGAUUAGAUACCCUGGUAGUCCACACUGUAAGCGAUGAAUGCUAGGUGUAGGGGGUAUCGACCCCUUCUGUGCCGCAGUCAACACAAUAAGCAUUCCGCCUGGGGAGUACGGCCGCAAGGUUGAAACUCAAAGGAAUUGACGGGG